GUUAAAAAAAAUUAAUCGCACAGAUUGCAAUUACUUUGCGAGACGAAUCUUUUAAUCCUAAUUACUCCAUGAUUUGACAAUGUGGUGCUACAGUAAACAUGCGCUAAUGACGGAUUAAUUAGGCUUAAUAAAUUUAUCUCGCAGUUUAAUGACGGAUACUGUAAUUAUUUUUUUUGUUAG
rnacentral:misc_RNA from 1 species